rnacentral:antisense_RNA from 1 species
GGUAACCAAAUAUGACGGCUGGAUUAAGGGUUGGAUUCGUCACCAAUCUGACAUCUUGGAUAUCAGGAUCGUACAACCCACCCCAAAACAUACCUCGAGCUGCAAACAGCAGGGCAUAGAAUCCCAAAAUGAGUAGAUGAUGCCCGAGUAUACGGCUAAGCUGCUCUGUGUUAUCCCA